rnacentral:rRNA from 1 species
AUGGGGAGGGCGCCGUGCUGCGACAAGGCGACGGUCAAGAAGGGGCCUUGGUCGCCGGAGGAGGACGCCAAGCUCAAGGCCUACAUCGACGAGAACGGCACCGGCGGCAACUGGAUCGCCCUGCCGCAGAAGAUCGGGCUGAAGAGGUGCGGCAAAAGUUGCAGGCUGAGAUGGCUCAACUAUCUGAGGCCAAACAUCAAGCACGGUGACUUCACAGAGGAAGAGGAGCACAUCAUUUGCAGCCUCUACAUUAGUAUCGGCAGCAGGUGGUCGAUCAUCGCGGCGCAGCUGCCGGGGAGAACGGACAACGACAUCAAGAACUACUGGAACACCAAGCUCAAGAAGAAGCUCCUCGGCAAGCGCGCGCCGUCCCGCCGCCUGCAGCGCGCCAGCCAAGACGCGCCGAUGCCCUACUCCUACCUGGCGGCGGGCGGCGGCGGCGCCAGCAGCAGCGGGAACGCUAACGGCACCACCGCGGCACUCAGCUCGUCAGCGCUGGAGCGGAUCCAGCUCCACAUGCGCCUGCAGGGACUCUACAGCGCGUUCGGCUGCGGCGCCAGCAACGCGCCGCCGCAGUGGCCGAAGCUCGAGCCACCGACGGACGCCGUUGCCAUGACGACCGUCAGUCACGGUCACUCCCUUGCCGCCGCGGACGUCGUGGAAGCCGAGCAACAGCUAAACCCUUCCGCUGGCGCGAGCUACGACAUGCCGGUGCCGGGAGGUUUCGAGGAGCGAUCCGCCUCCAAGCUAGGGUUUGGCUCUGCUGCCGGCGAGGCCGCUGGAGUGGCCAGUACCGUCGAGAUGAGCUCGGGGUCAAUGGUAGGCGGUGGCUUCGGCUACGGCCACGUCGACGAGCUGUACGACUUCCUCUACAGCAAGCAGCUGGCCGCGGCCGGAGCCUUUCAAGGCGGAGUUCCUCCGCUGCCGGAGCUGCAGUGCCCGGAUGGCGGCGCCGUCGUCGGUGCCGACGAGAAGUUCUCCACGUGGAUGGCGUCCUGCGAUCACUAUGUUCCUACGACCGGCGGCCAGCAGCUCCAGCUGCAAGCAGGCGGAAACUCCAUGAAUCUGCAGGAUUUCGUUUUAGGGUAUGAUCAAUAA